rnacentral:misc_RNA from 1 species
AACGGUCUAUACCUGCGGUACCUGCGGAGGGAUCAUUAACAAAUCAUCUUGCAGUGGAGGCAUCCGUUCGCGGACCCCACGAGCAACUUUACUCGUCUUGGGAAGGCCGUCGGCCGUGGCCAUUUAUCCUCUCCGGAGGAUCGGUUAUGGAUUACGAUGUGCUGCACCCUCUAGACACUUCAUACACUUUCACGAUAGACAACAACUGGGUACCUAGUAGACAUGCUUGCGUGUCUACCU